GACGAACGCUGGCGGCGGGCUUAACACAUGCAAGUCGGACGCUCCGGUUUUGGCCGGGGCGUGGCGCACGGGUGCGUAACACGUAGGUAACCUGCCCUCGAGUGGGGAAUAACCCCGGGAAACCGGGGCUAAUACCGCAUACAGACUGGGAGCUGCAUGGCUCUCAGUUGAAAGCCGUGCACCGGUGACGGUGCGGGCGCUCGGGGAUGGGCCUGCGGCGGAUUAGGUAGUUGGUGGGAUAAGGGCCUACCAAGCCUGCGAUCCGUAGCUGGUCUGAGAGGAUGAUCAGCCACACUGGCACUGAGACACGGGCCAGACUCCUACGGGAGGCAGCAGUGAGGAAUUUUGCGCAAUGGAGGCAACUCUGACGCAGCCACGCCGCGUGCAGGAGGACGCCCCUACGGGGUGUAAACUGCUUUUCUGCGAGAAGAAGGCCUUGCUUUGGGCAGGGUGUGACGGUAUCGCAGGAAUAAGCACCGGCUAACUCCGUGCC
rnacentral:rRNA from 1 species